GCUUAGAGAGGGGUCAAUGUCCUAUCAGCUAGUUGGUAAGGUAAUGGCUUACCAAGGCUAAGACGGGUAGCCGGCCUGAGAGGGUGGUCGGCCACACUGGGACUGAGACACUGCCCAGACUCCUACGGGAGGCUGCAGUCGAGAAUCUUUCGCAAUGCCCGAAAGGGUGACGAAGCGACGCCGCGUGUGGGAAGAAGGCCUUCGGGUUGUAAACCACUGUCGGGAGUUAAGAAAUGUAAGGGUGUUAAUAGCAUCCUUACUUGACUAAGGCUCCGGAGGAAGCCACGGCUAACUCUGUGCCAGCAGCCGCGGUAAUACAGAGGCGGCAAGCGUUGUUCGGAAUUAUUGGGCGUAAAGAGCACGUAGGCGGCUUUGUAAGUCAGUUGUGAAAGCCUUCCGCUUAACGGAAGAACAGCAUCUGAUACUGCAAGGCUAGGGUGCGGAAGGG
rnacentral:rRNA from 1 species